AUAUAUAUAUAUAUAUAUAUAUAUAUACAUGCCAAGCCACCAGUAUAUUCUGAUCCAGCACCACCAAGAAAGAAAUGCUUAUUUGGCAAAAAUCUUACAAGCAUUUAUGUCGACAGAAAGCUGCCUGCUCCAAUACUUGACAUGUUAUCCAUAAUUGCAGGGAAAGGACGACAAUCAGAUCACAUAUUCGAAAUUCUACCUGAAAAUUCACACUGGUGCCUCAGAGAGAGGAUUGACAGUGAACAACUCAUUGAAUAGAUUCAAGAAUGCGUGCUUGUAAUAGCAUCUGUCUUGAAGGACUUCAUUGCAAACAUUGAAGGAAGUUUACUUACUUCUGACUUAUAAGAGAAUUGGCUUAGCGUCCCAGAUGAAGGAACUCUGGUUGGAAAAAUUAAUGCCAUCCAAAGACUUCUACUGAAGAUUCUUCAGGCAAACUUUAUCCUUCUAAAGCAUCUCAUUUGGUAAUAGUAAUAAGAGACUCAUCCACAAAUAAUUUAGACACUAACAGGUUAUCUAUCCGGAUAGCUCCUUAUGUUUUGUGGGAUCAGACUACAAAGGACGCAUGGUUUGGGAGUGAAAGAUAUUGAUUUUGGCCAACAGUAUGCUUCACAUUAAGGAAACUGAGCAGGGACUCAGCAGCUGCCCCAUUGGGAGAACAUGCACUACUGGCUAUAAUACAAGGCCGAGAAGUCCAGCUGCUCCCCUUCCCUUAUAGAUGUCCAUUAUACAAAUCAUGAUCGACAACUAUCAUCAAAUAUUUGGAAAUGAUAAUAUAUUUUAUAAAUGUAUUGACAGAAGAUCUGAGGAUUUAAAGACUUGUGCAGAUUCAAUAAACUCUUCUGGCAAAUCACCUAUUAUGAAAGAAUUCCUAGCUGGCCACAAGAAAACAUGCAAUAAUGGUGAAAAAUUAAAAAUUUCAUUCAUUCCUCUGCAGGAGGAAGGUCCUAUAGGACAGAACAGAACAACUACCACAUAUAAGUGGUAGAAGAUGACUGAAGACAUUAUAAGGUCAUUCUAUUUUAAUGUUCCCUUCUACCUUCCACUUAAUCAUAGCAGAACAAUUAUUACAACAUCCUGCUUCAGCAUUCAUAUGCUAUCAUAAUAAAUGUUAUAAUAAAUAAAAGUGUUAUCGCUUACA